rnacentral:lncRNA from 1 species
CUCCUCUUCCUUUCCCUGACCCCAGCACAGGAAUUUGAUCUGAGGGUGCCGUAAGUAGUGGCAGUAAAUAAUCUCUUAUUGAUUCCCACCUCAGUUCUCAGACAUCUUGCUUGCUGCAAGCGGUUCCAGAGUGGAACCGAAAAGAUGCAUGGUGAAUGGAUUUGGCUGAGAACUGCCGGGCUACUUUCUCAGGCACCUUUUCAUUCCCAAACUGCAUGUUCUCAAACAAGACAAAAACACAGCCCUGCUAUUAGGAUGAACAGUUCUGGAUUCAGACUCAGUUUCCCCAUCUGUAAAAUGUACUGGAUAUUAAACCAAGGGCCCUGCAUCUGCUAACAGACAGGUUUCUCUGUAGCUUUGGAGCUUGUCCUACAACUAGCUCUGUAGACCAGACUGGCCUCAAACUCACUAAAGGUGUGAGUCACCA